UCAGACUGUCAAAAUACAGGACGGCGAAGAACUCUGACUGUCACCUGAAAAAAAAAAUUGAGACUGUCAGCCUCAAGAUUGAGUUAAAAUCAUAUAACCCUGUAACUAUUGUAGUCUCCUCAAUAUAAUAUUCACUAAAUUAGUAUAUCAUGUCAUUUUGUAUUAAAGUACAAGUCAUGCCAUAAUUUAGAAAGAAAGUACAUUUAAAGACUUAUGGGAUAAAUGCC
rnacentral:lncRNA from 1 species